rnacentral:rRNA from 2 species
UCCAGAGUGGAUCCUGAGUACGGCGGGACACGUGAAACCCCGUCGGAAUCCGGGAGGACCAUCUCCCAAGGCUAAAUACUCCCUAGUGACCGAUAGUGAACCAGUACCGUGAGGGAAAGGUGAAAAGCACCCCGGAAGGGGAGUGAAAGAGAUCCUGAAACCGUGUGCCUACAACUAGUCAGAGCCCGUUAACGGGUGAUGGCGUGCCUUUUGUAGAAUGAACCGGCGAGUUACGGUAUCGUGCAAGGUUAAGCUGAUGAAGCGGAGCCGCAGCGAAAGCGAGUCUGAAUAGGGCGCCUUUAGUACGAUGCCGUAGACCCGAAACCGGGUGAUCUACCCAUGUCCAGGGUGAAGGUCGGGUAACACCGACUGGAGG